GACGAACGCUGGCGGCGUGCUUAACACAUGCAAGUGGAACGACGAACCGCGCUUCUGCCCGGGAGCAAUCCUCGAACAGGGGAGUAACACGUGGGUAACCCGCCCCAAAGACCGGGACAUACCCGAGGAAACUCGCGGCUAAUACCGGAUGUGUUCACCGUCCACGAGGAGAGUGACAAAAUGAUGCUUCUGCCUCCGCUUUGGGAUGAGCCCGCGGCCCAUUAGCUUGUUGGCGAGGUAACGGAUCACCUGGGCUUCGAUGGAUAGCUGGACUGAUAGGACCAUCACCCACACUGGGACUGAAACCCUGCCCAAACUCCUACGGGAGGCAACUGUGGGGAAUCUUGCACCCUGAUCCACACUGGGACGCAGCGACACCACGGGCGGGAAGAAGGCUUUCGGGUCGUACACCCCUUUCAGGAUGGAGGAAACUUCCGCUUCGAAUAGCUGUCCCGAGUGAAAGUACUUCCAUAAAAAUCCGCGGCUAACUACGUGCCAACAGCCACGGUAAUACCUCUGGUGCAAACGUUGGCCGGAAUCAUUGGGGGUAAAGAGCGCGUAAGCCGCCUGAUAAAUCCCGUGUGAUAGUCACAGGCUCGACCUGUGAAUGGCGCUGGAUACUGUCUGGCUAGAGUCCGGUAAGGGCCAGUGGAAUUCCUGGUGUAGCGGUGAAAUGCCCAAAUAUCCUGAAGAACUCCCAUGGCCAAAGCCGCUCUCUGGAACUGUUCUGACCCUUAAGAUCCAAAGCGUGGGGAGCGAACAGGAUUAAAUUCCCUGGUAAUCCCCCCCCUAAACCAAGGUCACUAAGUGUAUGAGGUGUCUACUCCUCCUGUGCCGAAGCUAACGCAUUAAGUACCCCGCCUGGGGAGUACGGCCGCAAGGCUAAAACUCAAAUGAAUUGACGGGGACCCGCACAAGCAGCGGAGCAUGUGGUUCAAUUCGACGCAACGCGAAGAACCUUACCUGGGCUUGACAUGUCGGAGACUCCCGUGGAAACACGGUCUCCCUUCCGGGCACCGUCACAGGUGGUGCAUGUGCUGUGCCUCCCUCUCGCCUCGAGGUGUUGUGUUAAAUCCCGCAACGAGCGCACCCCCUGUCUCAUGUUGCCACCGAGUAAUGUCGCGGACUCAUGGGAGACUGCCGGUGACACACCGGAGGAGAGUGGGGACAACAUCUAGUCAUCUUGCCCCUUAUGCCAACAGCUACACACGUGCUAUAUUGUGCGCUACAGAGGGUUGCGAUACCGCGAGGUGUAACGAAUCUCUUAAAAGCGGUCUCGGUUCGGGAUGGAGGUUGAAACUCCCCUCCCAGAAGGUGGAGAUGGUAGUUAUUGCCGAUCAGCAACGCCGCGGUGAAUACGUUCCCGGGUCU
rnacentral:rRNA from 1 species